rfam:Filimonas lacunae strain DSM 21054 genome assembly, contig: Ga0111651_101
GGGCCUAUAGCUCAGUUGGUUAGAGCACCUGACUCAUAAUCAGGGGGUCCCAGGAUCAUGCCCUGGUGGGCCCA